CCUACGGGUGGCAGCAGUGGGGAAUAUUGCACAAUGGAGGAAACCCUGAUGCAGCAACGCCGCGUGAGUGAUGACGGCCUUCGGGUUGUAAAGCUGUGUCUUCAGGGACGAUAAUGCCGGUACCUGAGGAGGAAGCCACGGCUCACUACGUUCCAGCAGCCGCGGUACUACGGCGGUGGCGAGCGUUAUCCGGAUUUACUGGGCGUAAAGGGAGCGUAGGCGGACUUUUAAGUGAGAUGUGAAAUACUCGGGCUCAACUUGAGUGCUGCAUUUUAAACUGGAAGUCUAGAGGGCAGGAGAGGAGAAUGGAAUGCCUAGUGUAGCGGUGAAAUGCGUAGAGAUUAGGAAGAACACCAGUGGAGAAGGCGAUUUUCUGGACUGUAACUGACGCUGAGGCUCGAAAGCGUGGGGAGCAAACAGGAUUAGAUACCCUUGUAGUC
rnacentral:rRNA from 1 species